rnacentral:rRNA from 1 species
GACAGAGGGUGCAAACGUUGCUCGGAAUUACUGGGCGUAAAGGGCGUGUAGGCGGGCAGGUAAGUCGGGCGUGAAAUCCCUGGGCUCAACCCAGGAACUGCACUCGAAACUACUUGUCUUGAUACCGGAGAGGAAAGCGGAAUUCCUGGUGUAGAGGUGAAAUUCGUAGAUAUCAGGAGGAACACCAGUGGCGAAGGCGGCUUUCUGGACGGUAACUGACGCUGAGAACGCGAAAGCGUGGGGAGCAAACAGG